rnacentral:tRNA from 1 species
GUCUGUCCAGCUCAGUCGAUAGAGCGCAAGGCUAUUAACCUUUUGGUCUUGGGUUCGAGCCCCAAGUUGGGUG